rnacentral:rRNA from 1 species
GACGAACGCUGGCGGCGUGCUUAACACAUGCAAGUCGAACGGUGAAGCGCCUUCCUUUUUGGUGGGUGUGGAUGAGUGGCGAACGGGUGAGUAACACGUGAGUAACCUGCCCCCUUCUUCUGGAUAACCGCAUGAAAGUGUGGCUAAUACGGGAUAUUCUGGGUCUGUCGCAUGAUGGGUCUGGGAAAGAUAUUGUUUCGGUGGGGGAUGGGCUCGCGGCCUAUCAGCUUGUUGGUGGGGUGAUGGCCUACCAAGGCGGUGACGGGUAGCCGGCCUGAGAGGGUGGACGGUCACACUGGGACUGAGACACGGCCCAGACUCAUAAGGGAGGCAGCAGUGGGGAAUAUGGCACAAUGGGCGCAAGCCUGAUGCAGCGACGCCGCGUGAGGGAUGGAGGCCUGCGGGUUGUGAACCUCUUUCGCCAGUGAAGCAGGCCUGCCUCGUUUGUGGGUGGGUUGACGGUAGCUGGAGAAGAAGCGCCGGCUAACUACGUG